rnacentral:lncRNA from 1 species
AUGAUCAUCUACAGGGAUCUUAUCAGCCAUGGUCAUUAGAACAGAGGGUGCCAUUGAUGACUCACUCAUUGAUGGAAAUGCUUCCGCCAAAGGCCCGGAGGGUGAAGGUACCCAAAGCACUGUUGUCACCAGUGUUGACAUUGUCAUGAGCCAUCAUCACUUAUAAGAAACCAGCUUCACAAAAGAGGCCCAUAAAAAGUACAUCAAAGACUACAUGAAAUCACUCAAAGGCAAACUUCAAGAACAGGAACCGGAAAGAGUCGAGCUUUUUAUGACUGGAGCUGUGGAGCAAAUUAAGCACAUUCAGGCUAAUUUCAGUAGCUAUCAGUUUUUUAUUAGUGAAAGCAUGAAUCCAUAUGGUAUGGUUGUUCUCCUGGACUACCGUGGAGAUGGUGUGACUCCAUUCAUGAUUUUCUUUAAAGAUGGCUUAGAGAUG